AUUGAACGCUGGCGGCAGGCCUAACACAUGCAAGUAGAGCGAGAGGCGGACGGGUGAGUAAUGGCUGGGAAACUGCCAGAUGGAGGGGGAUAACAACUGGAAACGGUAGAUAAUACAGCAUAACAUCCGAUGUGCCCAGAUGGGAUUAGCUAGUAGGUGGGGGAACGGCUCACCUAGGCGACGAUCCCUAGCUGGUCUGAGAGGAUGACCAUCCACACUGGAACUGAGACACGGUCCAGACUCCUACGGGAGGCAGCAGUGGGGAAUAGUGCACAAUGGGCGCAAGCCUGAUGCAGCCAUGCCGCGUGUGUGAAGAAGGCCUUCGGGUUGUAAAGCAUUUUCAGCGGGGAGGCGUUACCCGCAGAAGAAGCACCGGCUAACUCCGUGCCAGCAGCCGCGGUAAUAC
rnacentral:rRNA from 1 species